rnacentral:lncRNA from 1 species
UCUCAUUUUCUCUCUAAGUUUCCUCGUUCUCUCACCACUCCAUCUUCUUUCUACUAUGCCAUUAUCGGAGCACCGUCGAUGCUAGGCUCCCGACGCCUCUAGCCAAUCAUCAUAGUCGAUCUGUAGUCACGGAAGGGGAAGAAGGACUGUGGCUAUUUGCACCUCGCCUCUGUUCGCAUGAGGCGGCGUUGCCGCUGUUCAAGGCGCACGACGUACCUCAUCAGUUUUGUAGCUCAGAGCACCACUUUGUGCGGUGGCCUCAUCGACGUUUGUGGCUCAAAGCGUCGCUGUGUGUGGCGGUGGAGAUUGAUUAUUUGGUUUAUGGCGUUUCUUUUUCUGAUGAGUUUAUGGUGGUUUUGUGGUGAUGCUGUGAUUGAUGGUUUUGAGUUUGGUGUGUGGUAGAUCGACGGUGGUGAUUACAGUGGUGGUGUGGAUCGAUGGUGGUGUGAUUUACAGUGGUGGUGAUUUUUUGAUCAGUGGUGGUGUGGAUUGGUGGUGGUGUGAUUACAGCGGUGGUGAUUUUGCGUUGAUGUGGUGGUUACUGUUGAGGUGGUUUUGCACAAUCUGGUGAGACGACAGUGGUU